rnacentral:lncRNA from 1 species
GCCGGAGUUGGGGGUCGAGGUGCAGGGCCGGGAGCUGAGCGAACUGUGCCGCCUUGGGGUGGCUUGUAGACCAAAUGGAAGAUGAAGGCGUUGCAGUACCUGCCGGGAUGAGAAGACUUGGGUUUGAAGAAUUUGUUUUGAGACAGGGUGACAUUGUAUCACAGGCUCAUAUGUAACUCAUAUGUAACAGAGGGUGACUGUGGAUACCCCUGUCUCCACCUACAAAGCAGCGUUGGGUUACAGCCGCCACCACUUUUCGAAGGUAAAUACCUCGUGCUGGAGGACCGUCGUGACGUCAGGGCCGCCCGUGCCCACAGCUCAUAACUUCAGUGGCGCGCUUAGGGCAUCUGGCAGUACCUGGCCAGGGCGUGGACAGGGCGUGGACACUCCCACAGUCCUGGGGAUUUGUUUGACUGCUUCACCUUGGCCAUGUGACUGGAUCCUACUGAGACUCAGCGGUCCAGGGAAGUGAAAGCAUCUUGGAGCCAGAGGAAGGAUCUAGAGGGUAAACCACUUUACAAACCAGCAGACAGACAGAUGACCGCUCAAGAGGACUGAAAUCCCCGAACCCAACCGAGUCAUUCUUCCGGGACCACUGCUUGCUCACUCGGAUUCUUCUGGCUCUAGCCCAAGUUUUCUUUCGGUUUUGUCCGAUAGUCUUGGCUGACCCUACUGCUGGCCAGGAGUCUCGAGUCGGAAGGAGCUCCGCCUUCCGGGGCAGGGAUGUGUGUGUCCCCCGACUGGGAGCUGGGCGCAGCGCGGGCUCCCCGGUACUGACCAGACGGUCGGUUCAGGACAGCGCGCGGGGGACAGAAGGCGCCACCACCUCGCGCCCCCUCCCUUCCUGAGCUUGGCACAGAUCAGCGCCUCCGCAAAGCAUCAGCCAGGGUGAAGUGAAAGCAAUAGAGAAUCUGCUGGAUGUCGGCUAGGUGACCUGGCCUCAACAAGCUCCGCAGCGGCCUGAGAUGAGGCGGGGCUUUGGACCCUUGGCCCUUACACUCUUCCUUUUCUUCUUUGCGCUGCUGACUCUGCCAGGCGAUGGCAACCAGGGCAGUGUCGCUGGAAGUUGCUACUGUGAUCGUACAAUUCCUUCUGGCACCCAGAUACCGCCUGCUACUUUGAAUCAUAUGCGAAAAUAUCUGAAAACGUUCCAUCGCUGUCAAUUCUUUAUCAGGUUCCAGUUGCAGUCCAAGAGUGUGUGUGGAGGAAGCCAAGACCAGUGGGUCCGUGAACUAGUGAACUGCUUUGAGCACAAACAAUGUGGAAUCGGUCAUGGGCAGAGUUUUCACCACCAAAAACAUGUGCCUCAAGCCAGUACCCGGAUCCCUGAGGCCACAGAAGGGAAACCUCCAGACACAAGCACGGCUGUACAGUUUCAGAGCACCCAGCAGUCCACUUUUCCAUCUGGAGCACCAUCCUUGAACAAAGAGCUCACCCGCCACUGGGAAACAACCAUUCUCCCUUCAGGCUAUGGUCUGGAGGCUAGGCCUGUGGCUGAGGCAAAUGAGAAACAGCACAAACAGCAAAAAGAACCAGGAGCUGGUGCUGGCACACAAGCCUUGGUGCCGGUGCUAUCCCUCCUGGCCAUCGUCUUCUUCCUCGUGGCAGCCAUGGUCUGUGUGCUGUGCAACAGGAGAGUGACUCGGCAGAGCUCUUCAGGUUUGCAGCUCUGUUAUACACCUGUUGAACCAAGACCCCAGGGCCUGUAGCAAGAAUGGAAGCUCGUGAGAGAUGAUGUGGGAGAGGUGGCAGACAGACUGGCAGGCUAGGCUCCAUCAACGAACUGAAUCUGAGCUCAUUUUUUCUGGUGAUGUUUUGAAUCAAAGUAGCCAUUAUGUAAUCUAGGACAGCUUUGAACUACAGAGCCUGUGCCCCGACCUCCUAGAUUCUGGGAUUAUAGAUAUAUCCUACUGCAUCUGCCCUCGUCUACUUUCAUAAAUAAGGUAUAAAUUUUCAGGUUUUUGUUUUGUUUAGCGAAGAUCUUAUUUAGCCCAAGCCAACCUCAAAUUCCCUAUGUAUCUCUAGGUCCCCUGCCUCCUUACACACUCACUAAACGCUUUUCUUUUUGGUUUGUUUGAGACAGGGUUUCACUAUUCAGCCUUGACAGUCCUAGAACUCAGAAAGGUCUGCCUUUCUGCAGUGUUGGGAUUAAAGGACUGCCCUUGGGAAACCCUCUUUACAACUAAUAACAUCUGCAUAGCCCCUCUGCCCUAGCCUUUCCCCUGCCUCUAAUAAAAUGUAAUACUCUCAAGUAUGUGGUCCAAAAGUGCAGUCAGAGGUGGAGUGUAAAGUUCGAGGUUCAACCUGCCCAUUAACAGAUUAAUUUUAAAAAGUGUCUGCUUUUUACAUUGUGUAACAAUAAACUGGACAAAUUCUAUGUUUUUAACUGUAAUACUAAAGAUUACUUUUAGAAUUACUGGCUGAGGGGUGGAGAGAUAACUCAGCAGGUUAGAGUAAUUGUUCUAGACUCUAGAGGACUCACAUGGUGGCUCACAACCAUCCGCAACUCUGGUUCCUGGGGAUUGACAUCCUCCUCUGACCUCCACAGACACCAGAUAUGUACACGGUGCACAUAUGAUAAAAUUAUUGUUCAUACACAUAAAAUAAACAUAGGCGAAAUGGC